rnacentral:rRNA from 1 species
GACAUAGGCCACGAACGUUGUUCGGAAUCACUGGGCAUAAAGCGCACGUAGGCGGCUAGGUCCGUCCGAUGUGAAAGCCCCCGGCUCAACCGGGGAAUUGCAUCGGAUACAGCCUGGCUUGAGGACGGUUGGGGUGAGUGGAACUCCUGGUGGAGCGGUGAAAUGCGUAGAUAUCAGGAGGAACACCGGUGGCGAAAGCGGCUCACUGGACCGUUACUGACGCUGAGGUGCGAAAGCUAGGGGAGCAAACGGG